UCUUCCGUAGUAUAGUGGUCAGUAUAUGAGCUUGUCAUCAAGUUCGACAUCGCUCGGGACCCGGGUUCAAUUCCCGGCGGGAGAG
rnacentral:tRNA from 1 species